rnacentral:tRNA from 1 species
CAGGGUAUAGCUAAAUAGUAUAGUGUCUCCCUUACACUGAGAAGUCAUCUGUGCAAAUCAGAUUACCCUGA